CCUACGGGAGGCUGCAGUGGGGAAUAUUGGACAAUGGGCGAAAGCCUGAUCCAGCCAUGCCGCGUGUGUGAAGAAGGCCUUCGGGUUGUAAAGCACUUUCAGUGGGGAAGAAAGCCUUGGGGCUAAUACCCUCGAGGAAGGACAUCACCCACAGAAGAAGCACCGGCUAACUCCGUGCCAGCAGCCGCGGUAAUACGGAGGGUGCGAGCGUUAAUCGGAAUUACUGGGCGUAAAGCGCGCGUAGGCGGUCUGAUAAGCCGGUUGUGAAAGCCCCGGGCUCAACCUGGGAACGGCAUCCGGAACUGUCAGGCUAGAGUGCAGGAGAGGAAGGUAGAAUUCCCGGUGUAGCGGUGAAAUGCGUAGAGAUCGGGAGGAAUACCAGUGGCGAAGGCGGCCUUCUGGACUGACACUGACGCUGAGGUGCGAAAGCGUGGGUAGCAAACAGGAUUAGAUACCCAGUAGUC
rnacentral:rRNA from 1 species